rnacentral:rRNA from 1 species
UUGCAGUUAAAACGCUCGUAGUCGGAUUUCGGGGCAGGUUUGCCGGUCUGCCGAUGGGUAUGCACUGGUAGAACUGUCCUUCCUUCCGGAGACGGCGCCUACUCUUAACUGAGCGGGUGUCGGAGACGGAUCGUUUACUUUGAAAAAAUCAGAGUGUUUCAAGCAGGCAGCUCGCUUUUGCAUGGAUUAGCAUGGGAUAAUGAAAUAGGACUUUGGUGCUAUUUUGUUGGUUUCGAACACCGAAGUAAUGAUUAACAGGGGACAGUCAGGGGCACUCGGUAUUCCGCC